rnacentral:rRNA from 1 species
UACAGAGGUCUCAAGCGUUGUUCGGAAUCACUGGGCGUAAAGCGUGCGCAGGCGGUUCCAUAAGACAGAUGUGAAAUCCCCGGGCUUAACCUGGGAACUGCGUUUGUGACUGUGGGACUCGAGUGUGGCAGAGGGGGGUGGAAUUCCACGUGUAGCAGUGAAAUGCGUAGAGAUGUGGAGGAACACCGAUGGCGAAGGCAGCCCCCUGGGUCAACACUGACGCUCAUGCACGAAAGCGUGGGGAGCAAACAGGAUUAGAAA